rnacentral:rRNA from 1 species
UGGGGAAUAUUGCACAAUGGGCUAAAGCCUGAUGCAGCGACGCCGCGUGAGGGAUGACGGCCUUCGGGUUGUAAACCUCUUUCAGCAGGGACGAAGCGCAAGUGACGGUACCUGCAGAAGAAGCACCGGCUAACUACGUGCCAGCAGCCGCGGUCAUACGUAGGGUGCAAGCGUUGUCCGGAAUUACUGGGCGUAAAGAGUUCGUAGGCGGUUUGUCGCGUCGUUUGUGAAAACCAGCAGCUCAACUGCUGGCUUGCAGGCGAUACGGGCAGACUUGAGUACUGCAGGGGAGACUGGAAUUCCUGGUGUAGCGGUGAAAUGCGCAGAGAUCAGGAGGAACACCGGUGGGGAAGGCGGGUCUCUGGGCAGUAACUGACGCUGAGGAACGAAAGCGUGGGUAGCGAACAGG